GACAAUACUUUAACCUCAGUGUAGCACUGUGUUCUGGACAAUAACAACCACCUGGGAAUUGCUGGAGGCUGUUCAGAUAUAAUGAAGGGGAUGUUUGGCAUGUCUGUCAGUCUGUUGCUGCUGUGUGUCUUGUGGGGUGACAGUCAGCCUGUACACACUGCUGCUCACACUGUCAGAGAGAUGUUAGAGAUCCUGAGAGCGAUGACUCCAGUAAAUGAGCAGCAGGGACAGGACACAGAGCCUGAGGUUCUGUGGCCUAAUACUGAGGAUCUGGAGAAGAGAGACCUGCCACGUCUAGGAGUAGCAAUUCAUAGAGCCUUACCCUCAAGAGUCCACAGCAGUAAGUCCGUAGAUGCAUCUAGAUACCGAUUGUUAUCUCCAGCUAAGUGGAUGUCCAGUCUCCAAGGUUGAAGAAUAGUCACUUUUUGAUUCAUCAGUCUCAAAAGAGCUUGAACCAAUCAAUCCAAAGCUACCAGGUUUACACUCAAAUCUCAUCCGCAUGCUCUCUCUAUGAAGAACUCGUUGUAAAACAUGGAAUAA